rnacentral:rRNA from 1 species
GCUUGCACUGGGUGGAUGAGUGGCGAACGGGUGAGUAAUACGUGAGUAACCUGCCCUUGACUCUGGGAUAAGCCUGGGAAACUGGGUCUAAUACUGGAUAUGACAUGUCACCGCAUGGUGGUGUGUGGAAAGGGUUUUACUGGUUUUGGAUGGGCUCACGGCCUAUCAGCUUGUUGGUGGGGUAAUGGCUCACCAAGGCGACGACGGGUAGCCGGCCUGAGAGGGUGACCGGCCACACUGGGACUGAGACACGGCCCAGACUCCUACGGGAGGCAGCAGUGGGGAAUAUUGCACAAUGGGCGGAAGCCUGAUGCAGCGACGCCGCGUGAGGGAUGACGGCCUUCGGGUUGUAACCUCUUUCAGCACGGAAGAAGCGAAAGUGACGGUACGUGCAGAAGAAGCGCCGGCUAACUACGUGCCAGCAGCCGCGGUAAUACGUAGGGCGCAAGCGUUGUCCGGAAUUAUUGGGCGUAAAGAGCUCGUAGGCGGUUUGUCGCGUCUGCUGUGAAAGCCCGGGGCUUAACCCCGGGUGUGCAGUGGGUACGGGCAGACUUGAGUGCAGUAGGGGAGACUGGAAUUCCUGGUGUAGCGGUGAAAUGCGCAGAUAUCAGGAGGAACACCGAUGGCGAAGGCAGGUCUCUGGGCUGUUACUGACGCUGAGGAGCGAAAGCAUGGGGAGCGAACAGG